AGCAUGUGUUUUAUUUGGACGCAACGGGAAGACCCUCACCCGGGCUUGAACCCCGGGGGACCCCCGAGAAAAGGCGGCUCCCCCAAGGGCACUCGUACAGGUGUGGCACGGGGGUGUUCACCUCUUGUUUUGAGAAGUUGGGGUAAAUCCCCCAAAAAGGGCAACCCCCUUCCCCUUUUGCCCCCACGUUAAGUUGGGCAUUUUGAGGGGACUGCCGGUGAUAAACC
rnacentral:rRNA from 1 species